rnacentral:lncRNA from 1 species
UCAAAGUGCAAAGGUGAGCUGAUGUGUCAGAAGAAGGGGUGAAAUCCGCAGCACUUCUGUUCAACAUGCCCAAGAGGAAAAAUAAGCAACAGCGACAGCACCAGAAGAGGAAGAUUCCUCAGUUGGUGCCUCCAUAGUGCCCAUCGCUGAAAACAAGAAGAUCCCGGAAAGCAUCAUUAUUAACUCACCACAUUUAUGGAGACCUACACUGGAUCCUAGGUCAGAACCCCUGUGAAGCUGAAUCACCUUUACUCUCCUAGAGACAGCAAGAUUGUUCCCCUCCACUGUGAAAUGCCAUCCCUUCUUCUACGUUUCACCAUUUCUGUUCACCUCAAGAUUUCCCCCAUACCCUGGUUGGCAAUUUCUGGAGCUCCCACCAUGACCAGUGUGAGG